GAUGAACGCUGGCGGCGUGCCUAAUACAUGCAAGUCGAGCGAACGGACGAGAAGCUUGCUUCUCUGAUGUUAGCGGCGGACGGGUGAGUAACACGUGGAUAACCUACCUAUUAGACUGGGAUAACUUCGGGGAACCGGAGCUAAUACCGGAUGAUAUUUUGAACCGCAUGGUUCAAAAGUGAAAGACGGUCUUGCUGUCACUUAUAGAUGGAUCCGCGCUGCAUUAGCUAGUUGGUAAGGUAACGGCUUACCAAGGAAACGAUGCAUAGCCGACCUGAGAGGGUGAUCGGCCACACUGGAACUGAGACACGGUCCAGACUCCUACGGGAGGCAGCAGUAGGGAAUCUUCCGCAAUGGGCGAAAGCCUGACGGAGCAACGCCGCGUGAGUGAUGAAGGUCUUCGGAUCGUAAAACUCUGUUAUUAGGGAAGAACAUAUGUGUAAGUAACUGUGCACAUCUUGACGGUACCUAAUCAGAAAGCCACGGCUAACUACGUG
rnacentral:rRNA from 1 species